rnacentral:rRNA from 1 species
UGGGGGAUAUUGCACAAUGGGCGAAAGCCUGAUGCAGCGACGCCGCGUGGGGGAUGAAGGCUUUCGGGUUGUAAACCUCUUUCGCUAUCGAACAAGGCCCGCUUAGGGUGGGUUGAGGGUAGGUGGAGAGGAAGCGCCGGCUAACUACGUGCCAGCAGCCGCGGUAAUACGUAGGGCGCGAGCGUUGUCCGGAAUUAUUGGGCGUAAAGGGCGUGUAGGCGGCUUGUUGCGCCUGCUGUGAAAACGCGGGGCUUAACUUCGCGCGUGCCGUUGGUACGGGCAGGCUUGAGUGUGGUAGCGGUGACUCGUCUUCCUGGUGUAUCGGUGGACUGCGCAGUUAUCUGGGGGAACACCGCUGGCGAAGGCACGUCACUGGGCCAUUACUGACGCUGUGGAGCGUACGCAUGGGUAGCGAACAGG